UGCUGUGAAAUAUUUCAAACAAAGCUACUAGUUAUGCCAUUUUAUUGUUGGCAUUAGUUUCUGUUUUUUGGAUUUUAUAAUUUUUUUAAAAUCUAUGUUAAAUAGAUGUAUGAGCUUUAUGUGCACAGAGGGAACAUGAGGAGCUCUGCUCAGUGUAGAUCAGGUUACAUGAAUACAUUAAAUAUUUGGAGACUUUUGGAAUGAUUGGGAAAACAUCCAUAGGUCUGGUACUUUGAUGGAACAUGUAAAGUUGGUGAGUCUGCUUCAGAUUCAUCAGGGUUUCCCAAACCUGGUCUUCAAGGCACGCCGACCUGCAUGUUUUAGAUGUUCCUCUGCUUCAACACCCCCAUUCAGAUGAUUACAAUUCAGUAAACUCUGGGAUGGUCUGUCCUCAGUAGUUUUGUGUGCUGGGACGCCCUUUACAGUCAGGAAAUGCUACUUCAUCUUGGAACAGCCUCUGGGAGGAGUUAGAGACACGAGACUUUUUUUCAAAUGAUCUCAGGCUAUUAAACUGUCACUGACCAGUGGAUCUGUAUGUCACUACGGCUCCAGUUAUUUCUGCCAGUAUGACUGUUUUCCAUCUGAUAUUGACUUAUUUUCUACUAGAAUCUGCUUCUCCACUGAAGCGUACCGAUUUAUUUUAUAAUCACCUGAGCUGUUAAUAUUUCACACGCUGGCUGACCUGACCCUGGAACAUGUCAUAUGUCAGACAAAUGUGACAGCAGAACCAGGACAGAACAUCACUCUGCCGUGUGGAUCUGCCGGGGACAGAGGGGUCAUCGCUGUGGAGUGGAGGAGAACUGAUCUGGACUCGGAUUAUGUUCUUCUGUACAGAGAUCAGCAGUUGGACCCAGAACACCAGCAUCCAUCUUACCAGAACCGGGUCGACCUGCAGAACAGACCAAUUAAAGAUGAUCUGUCUCUGGUUCUGGAGAACGUGACUGCUGAUGAUGGAGGAUCAUAUGAGUGUCGAAUUCAGAGAGGAACAGACAGAGAGAAGCGAUCUGUUCUGAGAUCUGCUCCUGUCUGCACCGUCCACCUGGAUGUAGCUCUGCCCCCUCCUCCAGGAAACAUGGAUGGAAGCACAGACGAGUCAAAGGACCCACAAAGUCAUCAACAUCUUGGCCUGGUUUUUCCUGUCUUGACCACUGCUCUUAUUAUCGGAGGCUUGAUGUGGAAAAGUCAUGUUAAAUCACUUCCUGUUAAUGAAGCAGAUGUGGAGGAAGGAAGACUCUAGAACAUCUGGACCAGAGGUUAGAAACGACACAGUCCAAAGAGACGUUUUGGUCUUUAUUCCUGGUGAACAAAAUGUGUCUGGAAACUUGAAACCUGCCUUAAGCUCUUUGCUGUUUUAUAUAAACCUGCUGUAGAAAAGAGCAUUGUAAUUUAUGCAUAAUUAUGUUUCUAGAUCUAAGAUGAGUUUAUUAACACCAAAGCACAUGCAGAGCCUUCAGGAGCCAGAAUGACUAGUUACUGGUUGUAAAGGUGUUGGCUUCAUUAGACCAGCAGGUGGCGCAAAAUCUGCGCCUGAAGUCCAGCUUAAUGGUACAGGCCAAAGGUCAGAAGGGAAUGACAAUCAGGUCAGUGAGAAUAAUGGUACAAAUCAAAAAGGGGAACACGGUCAGUUUACAGUCAGAGGUCAUGAUGCCUUCAGGAGCAGUAGGACAAAGGAAAGGGCAGCUUCAACGUGGUACUUGGCAGCAGUUUAUCAGAAUUAAAAUAUUUUCCUGGAAAUGUUUUACAUGUUUACCAGCUGCUUAUGAAAUGUCUUUAUUAAAACUGAAAUGAUGUGGGUUUGAGUUGAUAUCAAUUGGUUAUUAAUUUCCAGACAGUUUGAGCUUGAACACAACCAGAACAUCAUAAUCUUUUUUUCUGUUUUGAAAACAGUUGUUUUUUUUUUGUUUUUUUUGUUCCCCCCCAACUGUAAAAGGAAA